UGGGGGAUAUUGCACAAUGGGCGAAAGCCUGAUGCAGCGUCGCCGCGUGGGGGAUGAAGGCCUUCGGGUUGUAAACUUCUUUUGCUCUGAACAAGGCAUGCUAAUGGGUGUGUUGAGUGUAGGGGUUGAUUAGCGCCGGCUAACUACGUGCCAGCAGCCGCGGUAAUACGUAGGGCGCGAGCGUUGUCCGGAAUUAUUGGGCGUAAAGGGCUUGUAGGUGGCUGGUUGCGUCUGUCGUGAAAGCUCAUGGCUUAACUGUGGGUUUGCGGUGGGUACGGGCUGGCUUGAGUGCAGUAGGGGAGGCUGGAAUUCCUGGUGUAGCGGUGGAAUGCGCAAAUAUCAGGAGGAAUACCGGUGGCGAAGGCGGGUCUCUGGGCUGUUACUGACACUGAGGAGCGAAAGCAUGGGGAGCGAACAGG
rnacentral:rRNA from 1 species